AUUGAUGACUUGUGUGGCUUUUAACCAUAUCUGGGAAACUCUCAUACCCUCAUUGCCUUUGCUUGGAGGAUGUCCCUGCUGGUCCUGGCAGCCCUCACACUGCGCAGUCUUUCCACACACUACAGCCCAAGGAGUCAUCUGCUUGUGGUUUGGUAGCUUCAACCUUGUUCUCUACAACCAUCCCCCAUGCCGGUUCUCAGCUCAGAAAACUUCAAUGACUUCCAUUAUCCGCUGAAGUUUUAACUUUUACAUACAAACCUGAAUGGAAACAUUCAGGUUUUCCAGGAUAUGGCCUUUGCUGUCAUUUCCUCCUUGUUAUCCUUUCUCCCUCCCUCCAUAUUUUCCACAAAUGAUUUGGAAAUACUGUAAAAACCUCUAUAUUAAGUGCUGGGGAUAUAUUGAUGAUCAAGCUGCCUUUGUAAAGUGUGCAGAUAAAAGAGAGAUCCACAGAGAAGUAAUUCAAGUCAAGCAGGAUGAGUGAUUUGGUAGGGCAGUGUCGGGGCAACAGGAGGAUGCACAGGGAACUUCAACAAAUUGACCAGGCUGAUUUCUCUGAAGAAGGAACACGUCAGUGGAAAUGUGUGAAAACUGAUCAACAGAAGAAGGGGCUUGAUCUACUUUCCGUCUUAGAAUGUGUGCUCAGGUUGCGGUGUGUACGGUGUGGAUAAAUGAUUUGGGCCAGUGGCUUUCAAACUUGAGUGUGAGUCAGAAUCUUCCAGAGGGCUUUGUAGAACACCACUGCAGGACUCCCUCUCCUAGUAGGUUUGGGGGAGACCCUGAGAAUCUCCAUUUUUUUUUUUGAGACGGGGUUUCACUCUUGUGGCCCAGGCUGGAGUGCAGUGCUGCCGUCUUGGCUCACCGCAAGCUCCGCUUCCCGGGUUCAAGCGAUUCUCCUGCCUCAGCCUCCCACGUAGCUGGGAUUACAGGGGCCCGCCACCAUGCCUGGCUAAUUUUUUGUAUUUUUUAGUAGAGACGGGGUUUGGCCAUGUUGGGCAGGCUGCUCUCCUGACCUCAGGUGAUCCGCCCGCCUCAGCCUCCCAAAGUGCUGGGAUUACAGGCGUGAGCCACCGUGCCCGGCCGAGAAUCUGCAUUUUUAACAAGCUCCCAGGAGAAGCUGAAGCUGCUGAUCCUGGGACUGCACUUAGAGAACCACGGUUCUGAGGCUUUGAAGAACAAGCUGCCAUGAAUCCUGCAGCUACAAGGAAAUGAACUCUAUUAACUUGAGUGAGCUUAAAACUAGAUCCUUCCCCAGUCAAGCCUCCAGGUGAGAAUUCAAUCCUGGCUGGCACCUGGAUUGCAGCUUACAGAAGACCCAGCUAAGGCCAUGUCUGGACUUUAAAUCCACAGGAACUGCAAGAUGGUAUCAGAAGUGGGACCUGCAGUGGGGCAUCUAGCAACCCCCAGGAGCAUUGAGUGACCAGGCUUGGGACCCACCGGGCGCAGGGUGUCCAUUGUUCUCUCGAAGCAACUGAGAAUUGUGGAUAUUCUUCAUUAUUCCAUCAUCAUCUCAAACCUCUUGGGUAUAGUGUUUGACUACUACUGUGACCAUAAAUUCCAAUAAAACCUAGGAAAAAUGAAACCACUACAUUAACUGAAAGGAUGUGCCUGUCACAGUCUCCACCAGAAGCUUUAUCUUACUACAGAGUCCAGAUGCAUUAAGGCUGUGUUCGAGCCAUGAUCUUCCUCUGAAGAAGAAAUGAAGAAGAAAUUUAUCUUAUUUUUGGAUAUAGUGUUCUUAGUUGGCAGUUUAAUUAUUAUUUUUACUUCAUCACUUUGUAUACGUCAUCGCACUUUCUCCUGGCCUAUAAGAUCUCUCCUGAGAAAUUUUACGUUCUACUUUACUGGAA
rnacentral:lncRNA from 1 species